CGCACCUCGUAUAAAACACGGGAGGCGAGAACAAUGAUGGCGACGCCGGCAGAAGAAGUCUGCGAGACUUCUGACAAACACACGACGACCGUGUCGUGCCAGGUGGCCCGGCACAAGCAGGACGCGCCCUGGAAGCUGAGGCUUAUUUACCUGCAGUGCUAUUUUCUGUCCAUUGCCACUAUACUGGGGACUGGAAUUUUAGGGCUUCCUGUUACAAUUGCCCAAGCAGGACUGGCUCCAUUUUUGGUUUCCUUCAUCUUAGGGUUUUUCAUUCAGGCCCUGCUUAUAUAUUUGUUUGUUGACUUGCUGCAGCGAUGCCGAGUUGCCCAAAUGAACAAAUUAAAGACUGCAGAAACUGAGAGGAUUUUACUGCAUGAUGUUGGUACAGAGGAAACAUUUCUUGCUGCCGAGGAAGAGGAGGAAGGGGAAGAAGCUGAAGAGGCAGACAUGGGUCUGUUGCACAGGGACAAUACAGCAAUAGACCUGAAGGAGAAGCUGGAGCCCAAUCUGCAUGUCCUUGGUGUCCUUUUCCUGGGCAAGAACAUGAGCCGUGCCUUCAAUGUUAUUCUUCUUUUUCAGUUUGUUUCCAUUGGGAUCAGCUAUGUCCUGGCAGGCAGUGAGGCCUAUGCAGCACUUUUCAAUGUCAGUCACAUCUACAUCAUUCCCGUGUUCACGUGGACCCUGUCACUUGGAAUUCUCCUUGCACAGGUUGUAAUUCAGCCAAUCACAUCUGUGCUGACCCUCCUGAAAGGUGUCCUGCUUAUCAUCACGGUGGCAGUGACAUUUGUUGUCGGUUCAGAAGUUCACCAGGAGACCACGAACGACUUCGCUCAAAUUGGGAAACCUUUCCUGAUGGGGACCGUUGCUCUGGGUGGAAUUGUCAACGUGAUGCCAUUUCUGUUUUCUCAAAUAUCGCACAGCAAAUCGCAGGUAAUGCAUUCAGGAUACGUUCCACCAUCAUUCCCCAGAUACGAGAUAGUCCAUCUUCAGUCCGUCCAUUACGGACUUUGA
rnacentral:lncRNA from 1 species